UACGUAGGGGGCAAGCGUUGUCCGGAUUUAUUGGGCGUAAAGAGCGUGUAGGCGGCUAGACAGGUCCGCUGUGAAAACUCGAGGCUCAACCUCGAGACGUCGGUGGAAACCGUCUGGCUAGAGUCCGGAAGAGGAGAGUGGAAUUCCCGGUGUAGCGGUGAAAUGCGCAGAUAUCGGGAAGAACACCCGUGGCGAAGGCGGCUCUCUGGGACGGUACUGACGCUGAGACGCGAAAGCGUGGGGAGCAAACAGGG
rnacentral:rRNA from 1 species